GGGCUUCCGGGUGUAGGUUCCUAGCGAGCCCACCUCCCACCCGUGUUUACUGUACCUUAGUUGCUUCGGCGGGCCCGCCAUUCAUGGCCGCCGGGGGCUCUCAGCCCCGGGCCCGCGCCCGCCGGAGACACCACGAACUCUGUCUGAUCUAGUGAAGUCUGAGUUGAUUGUAUCGCAAUCAGUUAAAACUUUCAACAAUGGAUCUCUUGGUUCCGGCAUCGAUGAAGAACGCAGCGAAAUGCGAUAACUAGUGUGAAUUGCAGAAUUCCGUGAAUCAUCGAGUCUUUGAACGCACAUUGCGCCCCCUGGUAUUCCGGGGGGCAUGCCUGUCCGAGCGUCAUUGCUGCCCAUCAAGCACGGCUUGUGUGUUGGGUCGUCGUCCCCUCUCCGGGGGGGACGGGCCCCAAAGGCAGCGGCGGCACCGCGUCCGAUCCUCUAGCGUAUGGGGCUUUGUCACCCGCUCUGUAGGCCCGGCCGGUGCUUGCCGAACGCAAAUCAAUCUUUUUCCAGGUUGACCUCGGAUCAUGUAGGGAUACCCGCUGAACUUAAUCAUAUCUAUAAGCGGAAGGAUCAUUACGAGUGUAGGGUUCUAGCGAGCCCACUCACCGUGUUUACUGUACUUAGUUGCUUCGCGGUCGCAUUCAUGGCCGCCGGGGGCUC
rnacentral:rRNA from 1 species